UACGGAGGAUCCAAGCGUUAUCCGGAAUCAUUGGGUUUAAAGGGUCCGUAGGCGGGUUUUUAAGUCAGUGGUGAAAUCCUACAGCUCAACUGUAGAACUGCCAUUGAAACUGGGGAUCUUGAAUGUGAUUGAAGUGGGCGGAAUAGGUCAUGUAGCGGUGAAAUGCUUAGAUAUGACCUAGAACACCGAUAGCGAAGGCAGCUCACUAAGUCAUGAUUGACGCUAAUGGACGAAAGCGUGGGGAGCGAACAGG
rnacentral:rRNA from 1 species